rnacentral:rRNA from 1 species
CCCUUAGAUGUUCUGGGCCGCACGCGCGCUACACUGACAGGGCCAGCGAGUACAUCACCUUGGCCGAGAGGUCUGGGUAAUCUUGUUAAACCCUGUCGUGCUGGGGAUAGAGCAUUGCAAUUAUUGCUCUUCAACGAGGAAUGCCUAGUAGGCACAAGUCAUCAGCUUGUGCCGAUUACGUCCCUGCCCUUUGUACACACCGCCCGUCGCUCCUACCGAUCGAAGAGUUAGGUGAAUUGUUUUGAUCGAUAAGAUUUGACUAUGGUCAACUCUCGUUGUGAAAUUCUGUGAAUCUGACUGUUUAGAGGAAGGAAAAGUCGUAACA